ACAUACGGCCAUAGUAUCUUGAAAAUUGUCGAUCCCGUCCGAUCUCGACUACACAAGCAGGAUAACGGCAGAUUAGUAGUUGGUCGGUGACGACCAGCGAACACCGGCUGCUGUAUGUU
rnacentral:rRNA from 1 species